rnacentral:rRNA from 1 species
UCGAGAAUCUUCGGCAAUGGGCGAAAGCCUGACCGAGCGACGCCGCGUGUGGGACGAAGGCCUUCGGGUUGUAAACCACUGUCAGAGGGGAGGAAAUGCUGGAGGGCACUCUCUCCAGUUUGACCGAUCCUCAGAGGAAGUACGGGCUAAGUUCGUGCCAGCAGCCGCGGUAAGACGAACCGUACGAACGUUAUUCGGAAUCACUGGGCUUAAAGCGUGCGUAGGCGGCUUGGCAAGUUGGGUGUGAAAUCCCUCGGCUCAACCGAGGAACUGCGCCCAAAACUGCCAGGCUUGAGGGAGAUAGAGGUGAGCGGAACUAAUGGUGGAGCGGUGAAAUGCGUUGAUAUCAUUGGGAACACCGGUGGCGAAAGCGGCUCACUGGGUCUUUUCUGACGCUGAGGCACGAAAGCUAGGGGAGCGAACGGGAUUAGAUACCCCCGUAGUCC